GCCUUUGUGGUGCAGUGGUCAGCACGCUGGGCCCGUGUUCCAGUGGUCCGUGGUUCGAGUCCCGGCGAAGGCG
rfam:Stegodyphus mimosarum contig93182, whole genome shotgun sequence.